GGAGAAAUGAAUGAUUUCAAUCACUCAGGAACACUGAAGCAAGCACGUGCAAAAGCUUCUGAAAACAAUUCUACUGUAAACAGAUGCAUGAGAACAUUUCUAGGUCCAUUCAAAUGUAACAAGCCAAGUAGGGGAGCCUAAAGAUCCAAGGGUUUUGAACAUUCCAAACAGGGAUAUUAUGACAUUAUGUACUUCAAGGCAAAGCAAGAAUGUUCAUUGUAACAAAAAUAAGGCAAAGCGUGAAGGUAUCAGUGAUGCCAAAGACAUCUUUCACCCAAAAACCAGCAGGAGCAGGAGAUGAAGUAGAGCACCUGUUUCAAUACAUGAAAUUUCAUUCUCGUUUCAACCAAAAGCACCACUGGUCAAGGUUUCUCGCAGGUGUACUGUGUGAUCAUUUAAAUCAUUAAUCUGAAGAAAGGCAAAUUUUCGUUGAGAAAUUCUCUGGCUAAUUGCACAGUAUUAUAAUGGUGUGAGACACAGCACUCGAAAGAAACCAAUGCAGACCUACAUGUCAUCAAACCCAACUCAGUAGCGUUCUGUAUCAAAAAAUCAACUAAGCUAAGAUUUGUUGGCGUAUGUAUUCCUGAAAUUCCAACCAAGAUGAUAUCUGUAUGUUCCCCAUCUAAUUUCAAACAUUUUUCCCAAUUUCCCCUGUGCUAUAGCCUCUCUUAGUGCUGUUAUUCUUUUCAUAGUUGAAUUAGGACAUAGCUUAAAUCAAGAACAGAAAACAUGUGCAACAAAUCAAAAGAUAAGUAAAUAUGACAGACUGUUAAAUUUGAAAGCUCUAAUGAAUUAAAUUAAAGGUCAUGUCCACAAUGAAAACCGAAAACCAACCUCACCAAGCUAAAAGGGAACAGGGGUAACAAUU
rnacentral:misc_RNA from 1 species